rnacentral:rRNA from 1 species
UACGUAGGGUGCGAGCGUUAAUCGGAAUUACUGGGCGUAAAGCGUGCGCAGGCGGUUAUGUAAGACAGAUGUGAAAUCCCCGGGCUCAACCUGGGAACUGCAUUUGUGACUGCAUGGCUAGAGUACGGUAGAGGGGGAUGGAAUUCCGCGUGUAGCAGUGAAAUGCGUAGAUAUGCGGAGGAACACCGAUGGCGAAGGCAAUCCCCUGGACCUGUACUGACGCUCAUGCACGAAAGCGUGGGGAGCAGACAGGAUUAGAUACCCUGGUAGUCCACGCCCUAAACGAUGUCAACUGGUUGUUGGGAAUUAGUUUUCUCAGUAACGAAGCUAACGCGUGAAGUUGACCGCCUGGGGAGUACGGCCGCAAGGUUGAAACUCAAAG